UCGGGGCCUGUUAUAUCUGACUAUGCGGGAUGGGCUUCGCUCAUUGUUGAAGGCCGUACGGUGACCUAUAGUUGUUAAUGUCUGUGUCAUUUUGGUCUCUUGUGGACAGUUGUGUCAUUGGCAAUCUUACCACAUCUUCUUUUUUUUAUAUGUAUUUGCUUUUAACUAUCAAUCCUCAGUUUACAAAUCGAUCCACAGCGGUCAUAUAGACCCUCUCUAUUUAAUAAAAUAUGUGGCCGCCGUGAAUAGUAAACUUGAAAAUACUAGCAGAUAGCAAAUACACUUUAUUCAUAGUCUUU
rnacentral:lncRNA from 1 species